rnacentral:rRNA from 1 species
UACGUAGGGUGCAAGCGUUAAUCGGAAUUACUGGGCGUAAAGCGUGCGCAGGCGGUGAUGUAAGACAGAUGUGAAAUCCCCGGGCUCAACCUGGGAACUGCAUUUGUGACUGCAUCGCUGGAGUGCGGCAGAGGGGGAUGGAAUUCCGCGUGUAGCAGUGAAAUGCGUAGAUAUGCGGAGGAACACCGAUGGCGAAGGCAAUCCCUUGGGCCUGCACUGACGCUCAUGCACGAAAGCGUGGGGAGCAAACAGG